rnacentral:rRNA from 1 species
AUGACGUCAAGUCCUCAUGGCCCUUAUGGGUAGGGUUUCACACGUCAUACAAUGGUCGGUACAGAGGGUUGCCAAGCCGCGAGGUGGAGCCAAUCCCUUAAAGCCGAUCGUAGUCCGGAUCGUAGUCUGCAACUCGACUACGUGAAGUCGGAAUCGCUAGUAAUCGCAGAUCAGCAUGCUGCGGUGAAUACGUUCCCGGGUCCUU